rnacentral:rRNA from 1 species
AUGGCCGCCGCGGCCACCGCCUGCUUCCUCUCCGGCCCCUCCCCGCUCGCCCGCCCGCUGUCGCGCCCGCGCCAUUCCCUCAGGCGCCUCGCGCGCGCCGCGGCCGCCAGGCCCCCGGCCGGCCCCCUCGCGCUCCCGGCCUCGCCACGGAGGCCGCUGCGCGACCUGGUGCCGGGCCCCGUCGCCGAGGCCGCGCGGCGGGCGCUGGCGGCCGCCGCGGGGCCCCUGGUCGUGGCGCUCGCCUCCGCCGCGCUGGUCCUCGGGGACGCCGGGGCCGCGUCCGCGUUCGUCGUCGCCACGCCGCGGAAGCUGCAGGCCGACGAGCUCGCCACCGUGCGCCUCUUCAAGGACAACACCCCCUCCGUCGUCUACAUCACCAACCUCGCCGUCAGGCAGGACGCCUUCACGCUGGACGUGCUCGAGGUGCCGCAGGGCUCCGGCUCCGGCUUCGUCUGGGACAAGCUCGGCCACAUUGUCACCAACUUCCAUGUCAUCCGUGGCGCCUCGGACCUCAGGGUCACGCUUGCUGAUCAGUCGGUGUAUGAAGCGCAAGUUGUCGGAUUUGACCAGGACAAGGAUGUUGCAGUUUUGAGUAUCGAAGCACCAAAGGAUAAACUAAGACCUUUACCAGUUGGUGUGUCAGCAGACCUACUGGUUGGUCAGAAAGUGUAUGCCAUUGGAAACCCGUUUGGCCUUGACCACACUCUUACGACAGGUGUUAUCAGUGGACUGCGAAGAGAAAUUAGUUCAGCUGCAACUGGACGUCCUAUACAGGAUGUAAUACAGACUGAUGCUGCUAUCAACCCUGGUAACAGCGGAGGCCCACUUCUUGAUAGUUCUGGAAACCUGAUAGGUGUAAAUACUGCUAUAUACUCACCUUCAGGAGCAUCAUCUGGGGUCGGCUUCUCCAUUCCAGUUGAUACAGUUGGUGGUAUUGUGGAUCAGCUUAUACAAUUUGGGAAAGUGACGAGACCUAUUUUGGGGAUAAAAUUUGCCCCUGACCAAUCUGUGGAGCAGCUUGGAUUGAGUGGAGUGCUUGUCUUGGAUGCUCCCCCAAACGGGCCAGCUGGCAAAGCGGGUCUGCAAUCAACGAAACGGGAUGCCUACGGACGACUUAUCCUUGGGGACAUAAUUACUUCUGUUAAUGGUACUAAGGUUGCGAAUGGAAGCGACCUGUACCGUAUCUUGGAUCAGUGUAAAGUCGGAGAGACGGUGACCGUGGAAGUAUUGCGCGGAGAUAAGAAGGAGAAGAUCGCUGUGGUCCUUGAACCAAAGCUCGACGAAACAUAG